rnacentral:rRNA from 1 species
GACGAACCGUGUGAACGUUGUUCGGAAUCACUGGGCUUAAAGGGCGCGUAGGCGGGCCCUCAAGUCCGGGGUGAAAUCCUCCCGCUUAACGGGAGAAGAGCCUCGGAGACUGAGGGCCUCGAGGGAGGUAGGGGCGUGCGGAACUAUGGGUGGAGCGGUGAAAUGCAUUGAUAUCCAUAGGAACUCCGGUGGCGAAGGCGGCACGCUGGACCUCUUCUGACGCUGAGGCGCGAAAGCCAGGGGAGCAAACGGG